UGUAAUACCAAGGGUAAUUACCAUAGUUCGCAGGUUUUAUAAAGAUAUAAACCACUUGAGAUUUAUUUUUUUAACAUUUAUGUGACUCAGUUUUAAUGACAAAGUAAUACAAAACCUUUUUAGAUAAAUAUACUGCAAAUGCUAAAUAAAUAAACGUAUUUAAGAUGACCGGCCACCCUGCUCCCUCAAUGACGAUGGUACACUCUGAUGCUCCUUCCCGCGCAUCGUGAAGUCCGUUUCAUUUUGGAAAAAAAAAAUGCGCAGGCUUUGGCGGUCAUUUUGGCAGUUUUGGCAAUUUUGCACAUUUUUCUAUGUAAAGUGUCAUUUAUUUGAUGUCAGUUGAGUGGCAUUAUGGAUCAACUGGACGAGGUUUCAAUUGCCACACUCAGAGGUAUGUAACUAAGCAUUACUAAUGUCGUGCUAAUGUUCUAUUUGCCUAGCUAGCUAACCUAUAGCUUUACCUAGCUUAAUGUGUUGUGGAUUCCAGGAGCCAAAGAUAAUAAUGGCGUUUUAGCGAUUGUCAUUGAAUGAUUGUCAUCAAUGAUAACUUUAGUUUCUUUGCACUGACUGUAACCUGUCUAUGUUGGAGCUGCUAAUAUUGGAGAAGACUUAUUACCAUCACUUUCCCGAGAUGACAUCGGAGAUCUGUUUCCAGGUGUUGAACAUUUCUUGAGGCGCAGAGCUAUUUGGCUUGUUGUGAAUAAAGAUGACAAGGCCAAUACUGAUAAGGAAAUUCAGCAAUCAGCCCCGAAGGCAACAGCAGUUCAAACGAAGAGGCCAAUACCUCUAAAUUUGUGACUGUAACCAACCAAGUACAUACUCUUCAUAGACAGUGAGCUUGAGCAGGUGCGACGCUCCUACUUUGAGCAAAAACGGCUGGGUAAAGAGCAGGGUUUGGCCUUAUCCAAGGAGCUUUUCUGCCGACUCAUAAGAAACACUAUGACUAAUAUGAUUUCUAUCGCAAGAGCCACAGAGGAUCCCAGAUACCCCACCAAACAUGAGGUGAAUAUCAUGGCAAAGCGGCUGGUGGAGUACUAUCCAAUGAUAAAAGACAGGUCAUCAAAAAGUGAAUGGGAGCAUGUUGCUAAAAAGCUCAUGAAGAGACUAUCAAAUGUCAAAAGUCCAAGAAUGUAUAAAGGUCCUCCUUCAAAGAAACCUCGACAAGAUGUGGAAGUCAGUGUUUCAUCCACUGAGUAUGAUGGAGAUUCCAGUGCAUCCACUAUUACUCUGGAACGGUCACCCGUUAGUCCCAAGGGCAUCCCAGUGUCACAUAGAACUAGCACCCCAAUGCAGAACCAGGAUAGCAGUGAUGAAGCAGCUGACUGCGUGGACAGCCAGAAAACCCAAGCAAGACACUACAGGACUCUUCAAGAAAUGUACAAGUCCAAAAAGCCAAACAAAGCUGCAGUAACUCAUUUGCUGAACCUGGAAUUUGAGUCUCGUAGGCGAUUCAUCGUCUCUGAUGUUUUAAAGGAGCAUGACAGACCAACAAAGGUUCUGGAGGCUUACCCGUGCUUCCGAGAACUCGAUCACGUAAGCAAUGAUGGUCCUAUUCAGUCCACAUUCCCUUCCAAGUACACAUUUUAGCAUGACAUAACUUACAUAUUGUAUAUGUAUUUUUAUUAAGUCACCUGAAUGCUUGAAAAGGGCUAGUGGACAAUGUUUUUCUGACAUUUUUACUUCU
ensembl:lncRNA